rnacentral:rRNA from 1 species
UUAAACUAAAGAGUUUGAUCCUGGCUCAGAUUGAACGCUGG